UACGUAGGGCGCAAGCGUUGUCCGGAAUUAUUGGGCGUAAAGAGCUCGUAGGCGGCUUGUCGCGUCGGAUGUGAAAGCCCGGGGCUUAACCCCGGGUCUGCAUUCGAUACGGGCAGGCUAGAGUUCGGUAGGGGAGAGUCGGAAUUCCUGGUGUAGCGGUGAAAUGACGCAGAUAUCAGGAGGAACACCGGUGGCGAAGGCGGAUCUCUGGGCCGUUACUGACGCUGAGGAGCGAAAGCGUGGGGAGCGAACAGG
rnacentral:rRNA from 1 species